rnacentral:rRNA from 1 species
CUACGUAUGUCGCAAGCGUUAUCCGGAUUUAUUGGGCGUAAAGCGCGUCUAGGCGGCUUAGUAAGUCUGAUGUGAAAAUGCGGGGCUCAACCCCGUAUUGCGUUGGAAACUGCUAAACUAGAGUACUGGAGAGGUAGGCGGAACUACAAGUGUAGAGGUGAAAUUCGUAGAUAUUUGUAGGAAUGCCGAUGGGGAAGCCAGCCUACUGGACAGAUACUGACGCUAAAGCGCGAAAGCGUGGGUAGCAAACAGGAUUAGAUACCCUGGUAGUCCACGCCGUAAACGAUGAUUACUAGGUGUUGGGGGUCGAACCUCAGCGCCCAAGCUAACGCGAUAAGUAAUCCGCCUGGGGAGUACGUACGCAAGUAUGAAACUCAAAUGAAUUGACGGGG